rnacentral:misc_RNA from 1 species
UACGUAGGCAGCAAGCGUUGUUCGGAGUUACUGGGCGUAAAGAGUGCGUAGGCGGUGCUCUAAGUUCGGUGUGAAAUCUCCCGGCUCAACCGGGAGGAUGCGCCGAAAACUGGGGUGCUAGAGUGUGGGAGAGGAAAGCGGAAUUCCUGGUGUAGCGGUGAAAUGCGUAGAUAUCAGGAGGAACACCCGUGGUGUAGACGGCUUUCUGGACCACUACUGACGCUGAGGCACGAAAGCGUGGGGAGCAAACAGG